AUGCAGAUUGAUGUCACUUCAUCUGAUGGCAAGACGACGGCGAAGGCGCCAAACCCUGAAUUCCAAACCUGGUAUGCUCAAGAUCAGCAAGUUUUCUCCUAUCUUCUGACGACACUGCCUCGUGAGAUCGCCAUCCAGGUUGCAUCAUGUCACACCGCGGCUGAACUCUGGAACACGGUGGAAGGGAUGCUUGCAUCUCACACCCGUUCUCAGACCACCAACGUCAGGAUUGCCCUCGCCAAC
rnacentral:rRNA from 1 species